rnacentral:rRNA from 1 species
GACGAACGCUGGCGGCGUGCCUAACACAUGCAAGUCGAGCGGGGUCCAUCCAGUGGCAACACUGGUGAAGACCUAGCGGCGAACGGGUGAGUAACACGUGAGGAACCUGCCCCGAAGACCGGGAUAACCCGAGGAAACUCGAGCUAAUACCGGAUACCCCCACGGAAUCGCAUGAUUCUGUGAGGAAAUGUCUUUUCGCUUCGGGAGGGCCUCGCGGCCUAUCAGCUUGUUGGCGGGGUAACGCCCACCAAGGCAUCGACGGGUAGCUGGUCUGAGAGGACGAUCAGCCACACUGGGACUGAGACACGGCCCAGACUCCUACGGGAGGCAGCAGUGGGGAAUCUUGCGCAAUGGGCGAAAGCCUGACGCAGCAACGCCGCGUGGGGGACGAAGGCUCUCGGGUUGUAAACCCCCUUUCAGGAGGGACGAAAUUGACGGUACCUCCAGAAGAAGCCCCGGCCAACUACGUGCCAGCAGCCGCGGUAAU